rnacentral:rRNA from 1 species
UACGUAGGGUGCAAGCGUUAAUCGGAAUUACUGGGCGUAAAGCGUGCGCAGGCGGUUUCGUAAGACCGAUGUGAAAGCCCCGGGCUUAACCUGGGAACUGCAUUGGUGACUGCGAGGCUAGAGUGUGUCAGAGGGAGGUGGAAUUCCGCGUGUAGCAGUGAAAUGCGUAGAGAUGCGGAGGAACACCGAUGGCGAAGGCAGCCUCCUGGGACAACACUGACGCUCAGGCACGAAAGCGUGGGGAGCAAACAGG